AUGCUCCACCAAACGCUCAUCCCUUCUUGCCUUGCCUUCUCCGCCUCCGCUUCCCCCGACCCUCUCCCCUUCGCCUCAAACGCCACCGCCGCCGCCCCCGCCGCCGCGACCCACCUUCGCUCCUCAGCCAUGCCGUCCUACGCGCACCACCACAGCUCUCUGAACGAGAGGAUGGACGCCCUAAAGGGCAGUAGCCGCCAGGAGGAGACGCCCGACGAGGCCGCCGCCGAGGCGCCGGCGGCCUGGGGCUUCGCCGAGAGGGACGGCUUCUCCGUCGAGGACCUGCUGGACCUCGAGGAGUUUUGCGAGCCGGAUAAGGACGGCGCCGACGAGCCCCAGGAGGCGCCGGCCGCCGACGUGAAGGAGGAGAAGUUGAACGACGGGCCCCAGCAGCCCGUCGUGUCGUAUGAGCUCGCCCCUCCGGCGCCGCCCGCGCCGGAGAUUGUUGACCUGCCGGCGCAUGACGUCGAGGAGGAGCUCGAGUGGGUGUCCCGUAUCAUGGACGACUCGCUCUCCGAGCUGCCCCCGCAGCCGGCGCCGCCCGCGUCGAUGAUGGCGUCGUUGGCGGCACGCCCGCCGCAGCGCCGGCUGCCGCUGCCGCAGCGGCACCCACAGGACGGAGCGUACCGUGCUCUGCCGUCCAUGUCCGACCCUAUGCGGACUCCGACCAUAUGCGCGCUGUCGACGGAGGCGCUUGUUCCCAUCAAGGCGAAGCGCAGCAAGCGCUCUAGGGCGUCGGGGUGGUCGCUCUCUGGGCCCACGCCGGACUCCACUUCGUCCUCGUCGACCACCACCACCUCCUCGUGCUCCUCGUCGGCGUCCUUCUCGCCCUACUUCCUGAUGGACUCGACCCACUUCGGCGCCUCGGAGCUCAUGGAGGAGUACAACAUCCUCCCGCCGCCGCCCAAGAAGUCCAAGCACGGUAAGAGCAGCAAGCAAAAGGCCAAGAAGCGUGGCCGCAAGCCCAAGAACCUCCCUGCCCACCCGUCCAGCGCCAUGGAGGCCGCCACCCAGAGCGACCGGCGCUGCAGCCACUGCGGCGUGCAGAAGACCCCGCAGUGGCGCGCGGGGCCGGAGGGCGCCAAGACGCUGUGCAACGCGUGCGGCGUCCGCUACAAGUCCGGCCGGCUCCUCCCCGAGUACCGCCCGGCGUGCAGCCCGACGUACGUGAGCAGCGUCCACUCCAACUCCCACCGCAAGGUGCUCGAGAUGAGGCGCAAGAAGGAGGACGGCCCUCUCACAGUCACCGCCACCGCGCCCGCCGUGGCGUCGUUCUAG
rnacentral:rRNA from 1 species